rnacentral:lncRNA from 1 species
CGCUUGGUGAAAGUAUAGAUGCCUAGGACCUUUGUAGGCUGAAACUUGUAUCCUUCCCGGCAGAUGCAGCAAGUCAGACCUGGCUCUUCUAUGAGCUCCUCCAUCUGCUUAAGCAGUGCAGUCUUGGUCACCACCUGACCUUUCUCAUUCGUCGUCAUCCCCAGCGUGCCCAGGGCCUUCUGUCUCAUUGCCAUGGCCAUACGCUUCUUCUCUGCCCGUGUCUCCUUCCGGGCAGCGUCGAUCUUCUUAUUUACCUCUGGAUGUUCCCUCAGUGCCUCCAGAAGAUUCUCUGCUAACGUCCCAAUCCCUUCAUCACUCGACACCUGCUCAAGCUUGUGCAGGUUGGUAAUGGAGUCUGUGCCUAUCAGCACCUGUGUAGCAGGGUGCUGCGUGGCAAGUCCUCGGAGCAGGCGCAGGAUAAAAGGAAGUGCAGGUCGAGAUAAGAAUUUCUUCCAUAUGUCUGCAUCCAAAUUCUUUGCACUGGGAAUGUGUUUUUUCAUGUAGUCGAGGGCGUUCUGUGUAAUCCCCUUCUGGAGGAUGAGAUCUUUCAGCUGAUGGCCGUUGC